GCGGGUAUAGCUCAGUAGUAGAGUGCAUGCUCAGCACGACAAGUUCCUGGGUUCAAUCCCCAGUACCACCA
rnacentral:tRNA from 1 species